rnacentral:rRNA from 1 species
UACGAAGGGGGCUAGCGUUGCUCGGAAUCAUUGGGCGUAAAGCGCGUGUAGGCGGUCCGGUAAGUCCGCUGUGAAAGUCGGGGGCUCAACCCUCGGAUGCCGGUGGAUACUGUCGGGCUUGAGUACGGAAGAGGCGAGUGGAAUUCCUGGUGUAGCGGUGAAAUGCGCAGAUAUCAGGAGGAACACCGGUGGCGAAGGCGGGUCUCUGGGCAACAACUGACGCUGAGGAGCGAAAGCGUGGGGAGCAAACAGG